rnacentral:sRNA from 1 species
AAAUAGCCCUGAUGGGAGCGGUAUCCCUUUUGGGUUAGGUAUGUUUGUCUAACAGAUAAACUUUCCCAAACGGAUUGCAGCGUACAGCAGGACGGAAC